rnacentral:lncRNA from 1 species
ACAUAAGUAGAGACUAAAUGUGAUCCAAUUAUCAGUCCCAGGAGGCUGAUAAUACAUUUAUUCAAUAGAUAGUUCAGAAACCGUACAACUCUCGAAGGAGCGGGCGGAGAAGCCACACCCAAAGUAAAACUAAAGCGAUAACAAUACAAAUCCAAGUUGCAGUCCAGUCGGACUCUGGGCUGCAAUCGAAACUAUGCGUCAGCGGAAGCAUCCUGCAAAAGGGCCAACACCGCAG